CCUACGGGUGACAGUAGUGGGGAAUAUUGGGCAAUGGGCGCAAGCCUGACCCAGCAACGCCGCGUGAAGGAAGAAGGCUUUCGGGUUGUACACUUCUUUUCUCAGGGACGAAGAAAGUGACGGUACUUGAGGAAUAAGACACGGCUAACUACGUGCCAGCAGCCGCGGUAAUACGUAGGUGUCAAGCGUUAUCCGGAUUUAUUGGGUGUAAAGGGCGUGUAGGCGGGAGCGGAAGUCAGAUGUGAAAACUCAGGGCUCAACCCUGAGCCUGCAUUUGAAACUGUGUUUCUUGAGUGCUGGAGAGGCAAUCGGAAUUCCGUGUGUAGCGGUGAAAUGCGUAGAUAUACGGAGGAACACCAGUUGCGAAGGCGGAUUGCUGGACCGUAACUGACGCUGAGGCGCGAAAGCGUGGGGAGCAAACAGGAUUAGAUACCCGAGUAGUC
rnacentral:rRNA from 1 species